ensembl:lncRNA
GGAAAUGCUGUGUACUGAGUGCUGGCCGGGUCGUGCCCUUUUACCCAUGUGUACAGUUUUCCGAAGAGCUUGGCCCAGACAGCCCUAGUGCCUCUGUAUAUAGAUGAAGGUUGUGAGGCUCAGAGAAGGUAAAUGAGGAGCCUGAGGACAUCAGCCUGCCGAGCUCAGGGGCUCCUCGCCCUGCACCCAGCAGCCUCUGGUGUCCCAAGCUGUGGCCUGGCCCAGGGUGGAGGACAUGGCUGACCCAGGUCUCUUGGUGCUGUUUGUCUGGCAACACCUGACGAGGUCUCCUUUUCUGCACCCAUUCCUUCAUUCCUGAGCAUGCUAGGCUGUGUGCUGGCUCCUGGGCAGAACACACUGGAUGAGCCAGGUGCCGUCCUUCCCAUUCAGAGCCUGAAGCUAGUGGGGACCCUAAGGAGAUUCAGGGACAUCCAGCUUUAUGGCUGGGAGUAAUUUUAAAUCCAGCCUCUCUUCAACUUUCACACACCACCUCCACCUGUUCUUCAGUGUGGUGGGGAACAGAACCUAUUGGGGCCCUCACCUUGAGGCAAGCAUGUCUUCCAGGCUGCCCAGCCACAAGGGGGUGCUGUAACAGCCGUGAGCAGGAUUUCCCAGGCUCUAGCUUGCACUCAAUGGCAGGAGCUCUGGCUCUGUUUACCAUGCCCGCAGGGACUUCAAGAGUCCCCAUUUGAGACCCAUGCUGGCCACCUGGGCCACCAUUUGUCUCCCCUCCUGCUCCAGGUGUAUGGGGAAGACCUGUCUGCCUUCACCUAGGCCAUGUCUUGAUGCUGCCCAAGAAGCCACAUCUUGUGCACAUCUGGUGCAGGGGAUCCUUGCACCAGGCUGGGCAUGAGCCAAGGUUCUCUUCCACGAGCGGAUCCUUUUCCAAGUGGGAACGCCUGGAGAGCCAGGGACUUGAAUCUUUUGGGGGUCUGGCCAAGUUGCCCGGAUUGAGCUGGAACUUGCUGCAGGUGUGCGCUGCCAUGUCUGGUCACUCUAACUUCUUCUGGAAACUUCUGUAGUGGAUCCUGUGUGCACCACCCAGACUACCACCUCAGGACGGGACUCUCGUUCCUCUGCUCAGAGAACGGAAAUUGACACUCACGGAUGAAUCUCACUGGGAAAAUGUCCUGGCUGAAAGGAGCUUCCUGGGGCCUUCCCACUGGAGAAGGGGAGGAGGGUAACAGAGGCCUCCACACCUUUCUCAAUACAGAGCAAAUUUGAAGGGUCAUCUCCUCUCCAGGGCUCUGUGUGGGGUUGGGAAGAGACAUACAUUGAUUGAUUGAUUGGUUUUUAAUUUUUUUUUUUUUGGUACUGGGGAUCGAACUUGGGAUCUUGCACUUGCAAGGCAGGCAGCAGAACCACUGAACUAAAUCCCUAGCCCUUUAAAAAAAUUUUUUUUUGAUUGAUUAGUUUUUUGAGAUAAGGUUUCCUUAUGUAGUUCAGACUCACCUUGAACUCACCAUGUAGCCCAGGCUGGCCUUGGAUUUGCAGUGAUCUUCCUGCCUCAGCCUCCUGAGUACUGGAAUUAUAGGUAUGCACCACCACAUCUGGCUGGCUGAGAUCUUUAUUUUAAUGCAAAGGCCCCCCACCCCCACCCUCCUACUGGUGCUGAACCCAAGCACUCUUCCCAAGAAAUUUUCCCAACCAAUGAUACCUUCCUUGACCUUGCAGGCCAGGGUGGACUCCUUGAUUGCUUGCUCUUCCAAAAGGUAUGUCUCCCUGUAUGUUUUACAUCCACCCAUGCUCUCUGGCCUGUGUCUGCCUCCUCCAACCACUGUAAUGCCCACAAGGGUGGGAGCCAGAUCUGAUAUUAGUUACCGCUGCAUUCCGCCCCACUGGCACAUGGUUGAGAAAUAUUUGUUGAGUGAACAAACAAUGUUGUUAGCCAUCUAAUCUGAUUCCGUAGGAGGCCAUCAACUGUACUCAGGGCUGCAGUGUCUCAUUCUUUCAUUCAAUAAAUAUUUACAAAGAAAUUG